AGCAGGAGCUGGAUUAGUCCUUACCUACUUGCAGUCCUCAUCUGUGUUUAGAUGAGACAGUGAUUAAAAUUUUCUCAGACAUGUCUGUACAGGAGGACAGCUGAAAAUUUAAGACCAAUUUCCUAAAAUUCAUUGACAGCUAGGAGAAGUGGCUGGCAUACCAGAAGGCUGUGCUGCAUUUCAGCAAGACCUGGACAGGCUGGAGAAUUAGGUGGAGAGGAAUGUGAUGAGAUUCAACAAGGGCAAGUGUAGUGUCCUUCACCUGGGAACAAAUAACUGCACACAUCAGCACAGGUCAGGGGCUGACCUGGUGGAAAGGAGCUCUGCAGAGAAGGACCUGGGUGUGUUGGUGGACAACAGGAUGACCAUGAGCUAGCAGUGGCCAAGAUGUCACAUUUUCUUACCUGGAGGACGGAACCACUGAAGUUGCUGGUGAAGUGACCAUCAAUGAAAGUAGAGGCAGGAGGAGCAAAUAUAGUCUUCCCCCUCCACCAGCUGCACUUUAUUUCUUGGGACUGCUGCGUAACAGAAAUGCUUUUGUGCUGCGAGAGAACAUGAUGUACAAACUGAAGAAACCUGGUCAUCAGCUGGCAAUUUCAGCUCAAAGGAACAUCUGAUUCCUAAAGUUACAGAACUUGUCUGAAAGAUUUGUUUGAAAAAGAGAAUGAACUACUCAAUGUCCCAGGACCCAAAUGUAGCAUCAUAUUGGACACUAUGAAGAAAACAAUUCAUUCCCAGCUGAAACUAAGACACCUGUCAUCUUCUGUGCCUAAAUCUGAUUUGGUUUUCAGUAUGGCUUAUUUCUCUUUGCUGACGUAGCCUGAAGCCUAUGCAAAGGAACAACAGAAAUUAUGCACAGGACAAAAAGUCCUUGAAGAUGUAGGCUCCCAAAGUAAUUAUAGAAUCACAGAAUCACUAAGGUUGGUAAAGACCUCUAAGAUCAUCUAGUCCAGCCACCCACCUACUACCAAUAUCUCCAACUAAACCACAUUCCUUAGUACUGCAUCUCCAUGAUUCUUGAACACCUCCAGGGAUGUGAGUCAGCCACGUCCCUGGGAAGCCCAUUACAGCACCCGACCACUUUUUCAAAGUUUUUCCUAGUAUCUAAACUGAACCUUCUCUGGCACAACUUGAGGACAUUUCCUCUCAUCCUGUGUUUGGUGAUGUGAGAGUGCUUCAUCCUCUCUAGGAGCACCAGCAGGAAUGGAUAAGCAAAUAGACGUUAGAAGAGUGUAGUAAAGUCUUUUAAGAUAUGAAGAUGCUGCUAUAUGGUCUAGUCUGGUGGCUGUGAGUAAAGGCUGUCACAGGUUCUGGGACAGACCUGUUAGCUUUAUUUUCAAAUGAGCCAAUCACCAAAAAUUUCUCCUGAAUCUGUGAUGUGUUUCUAACACUCAUGGUUUCAUGUGCUAUGAGUUUCAAUGUCCCUCUGUGAAAUGAGGAACAAACACUCAUAAAUUCCAUGUCAGCAACUUUGACAGUAUUUAAAUCAAUGUCUGCUUGUUUUUUUUUCCUUUUGUAGGAAGCAUUUUUCCUGGUCUGAGUUAGUGAUGGUAUCCCCCACCUAAGGGUACACUGUCACUCAGCUGGUCCAUAUCUGUCAGUAAUAAUGUACUUUUGAUAUACAGCAAGCUGUGUACAAGGAUGGGGCAUAGUGCCCUUGUAUAUCUACUGACCCUGUUGGAAUGUUCUGUCACUUAGCAGCCAAAAGUAGAUAUGGAGGGAAGAUAAGGAUGGGGUAAUUCUGCAGUGAUAUUGCCUCUCAUCCUAAUGGUGAUGUGUUAGUGACUCUUCCAUAUAAAGACUUGCAUAUUGGUAUCAACUAGAUCCAAGGGUUUUCAGCUAUUUAUGUGGUUACCUACUGUAGAUGUAGAUUUUGGGCUUGUACAUCAUUUUGUAAUCAAGUUGACAGUAUAUUCUAAUGAAAGGCAAAAUGUUCCUUAUGUUUUCUAUUUUGGCCCUGCCAUCUGAUGAAAUAAUAUAUGCCAAAAUUUCUAACUGGGAAUGCCCUAUACUGUAACUAUAAGGCAAAUGUUUUUAGACCAGCAUCUUUUUUUCUAGGUGGCCACAGUUCACAGCCAAUCCAUCUGUGUAUGACUGUUCUUGGUGCAUAUAUCUCCAUUUUUCAACAAUUAAUGUCAUCUGCUACUUUGUCUAGUGACUUAGUCCUAGUUACUUAGUGUUUCUUAACUGUUUCAUUUUUGUUUUUAUGAUCCUAAAAAAUUCAGUAUCAGUGGAUUUUGCACACUCCUCCACAUGUUUUUUCAGAAUCAUUCACAAGUAUAUAACAAACUAUAGCAAAACCCAUUUUCAGAUGUAAAUGGUCACUUUCAUCCUUUGUGAACAUGAACAGUUUAUUUCUCUUUUUCUCAUUCUUAUCUAGACAAUAAUACAAUAAAAACUUCCUUUCUGGUUGUUUUGCAUUCCUCUUUUCUUGGGGACAUUUUAAGGUAUUUGAGGUAAACAUUUAAAAACAUACAAAAACAUAACAUAAAUCCCUUGCCUGUGUUAAAAGAAUUCCAGCACAUUGUAGAGAUAUUAACCUGGUUAAAGGUCCAUGUUAGCUCUUCUCCUAACAUCAUAUUAAAACGUUAUCAACUAAUAUUUCAAUUUGAGAUAUCCUGUUGCAUUCCUCAUUAAGAAAAAUUCUGAUCAAGGAACCUCUUUAACCCCAUACUUAGUACAGGUCAGGGAUUUCUUUUUUUUU
ensembl:lncRNA